UUUUGUUUUGGAAAUUUCCAGAAAGGUUAACUAAAAAAAUAUUUCCACACCUU
rnacentral:sRNA from 1 species